AUGCCAUGAUGGUGGCACUUUUGAAAUAACUCCUUGAACCACUCCCAUGCCUCAUAUAAAGAUUCUUCAUCAAGUUGCUGAAAUGUGGUAACUUUAUUUCAGAGUCU
rfam:Gossypium hirsutum cultivar TM-1 chromosome 16, whole genome shotgun sequence